GAGGGUGGGAUCACGGGACACCCCAGCUCCGUGCUGGGAGCUGCCCAUCCCGAGUGCCACGGCCCGUGUCCCACACGCAGGCUGCUGCCGGGGGGUGCUGGGCGCUGCCUCGCUCCUGCCCGGCCCCCCCAAAACGGCCCGGCGGGAAGGAGGGAUGCUCCUGCCGUGGUCCCACACCAUGGCGAAGGGCUCUCCUCCUGCAGCCCAAACGUGCCAUCCUUAAGCGGCCACGGAGACGGGCACAGCCAGUCGAUGGGAUAUGGCCGGGUCCUCUGUGUGUUUGGACAUCCCCCUGCGUGUCCAGCCUUGCUGCUGGGUACGUGACCCCAGCCUGUGCUGCAAGCCCCGCUCCCCGUUCCAGCCCAGCGAGACACCUGCUUUUCUGGCCAAACCAGACUCCAGCAGCCAGGUCGGGAAUCUGGGUGUGAUGGUAUGAGCACACGGUGCCCUUCCCUGAAGCUCCUGCCUGCUUACAGCUCAGUCUUGUCCUGCUCCCGGAGCCUGCCGGCACCCUGGAGAGUGGAGCAGGACGUGGGAAGGGAGAAGUUGUGGCUGAGGAGGGCUGGAGAGGUGCAGCUCUACAAGGGCAUCCAUCUCUUGCACUGCCCGUUCCCAAGCUAAAGGGGCUGAGCAAGUGUGUAGCAAGGGGACAGGGGCAUAAUAAAGGAUGCAGGAAGGUUUCACAGAGGCCAAAGUGUUUUCCCUAACUCUGUGUUUGUUUGUGCUCAGGUCAGAGCCUUCCCAGCCCCGGAGAGGUGCUUGCUGCCGAGGAGCUGCUUACUUUGGCCUCAACUGAGAGGCCUCAGCCCAGGGUAAAGCAGCCCUGAACACUGCCCUGUUUGUGCUUCGGGAAGGGGCGUUUGUGGCUGUCCCGUCAUGGUGGGAGCAGGCGAAAGAGCUGAAGGUUGUUUUCACCGCAGCGCCUGCCACAGGGGAUUCUCCAAACAGGAUCCCACCUCAUCCAGAUACGUGCAGAGCAGCAGGUCAGAUUCCCUGGAUCAGGUCUGUGUUCUGGUCCCAGGGAAUCCUGGGCCACCAGCAGCGUGUGAGCCAGGAGGUGCAUCCCCUGUGCAGCGAUGUCCUUGCUGUGGGCAGCCCAUGACACCGAGGGAUGCUCCUGGGCCCCUCCAGCACAGCACCUGCUCACGGCCUCACCACCCAGCCCCCUGAGCCCUCCUGUCCUCCACAGCAUCUUCCACCACCCAGGAAACCUUGCAAGCUCAGGUGAGUCCCCUACAGGCUCAGUGGAGGCCCCACUGUCUGUCCACGUGCUGCAGUGCUGGUGGUGCAGCCAGGGUGGGGAGUGUGCCAUGAUCCACACGGGUCUUUAUCUCGAGGCUGGAUAUUAUGGGAGCACCAGAAGCUCCUGGUGGGGAUGUCACUGGUAUCAGUAUCCAAGCUCCCUGUCCCAGGGCACAACCUGCCCUAUGGAGAGGAUCCUGCCCCAGGAUGCAAGCUGGAAAUUUGCUGCAGACCCCAUAGAUGCAUCCCCAGGUGGACGGCCCCUACUCAGGACAGAGAGGACCUAAAUGCUGGGGAGCUCAGACAGCAGCUGUCGGGAAGAACCUGGGGGGGACCAAGGCACCCACCACCUUUGUUCACCCCACUGGAAGCCCCUGAUCCCACACCAC